GUCCCUAUAGCGCAAUAGACAGCGCGUUGGACUUCUAAUCCAAAGGUCGUGGGUUUGAAUCCCACCUGGGAUG
rnacentral:tRNA from 1 species